rnacentral:rRNA from 1 species
AAUGAACGCUGGCGGCAUGCCUAACACAUGCAAGUCGAACGAAGCCUUCGGGCUUAGUGGCGCACGGGUGCGUAACGCGUGGGAAUCUACCCUUGGGUUCGGAAUAACAGUUAGAAAUGACUGCUAAUACCGGAUGAUGACGUAAGUCCAAAGAUUUAUCGCCCAGGGAUGAGCCCGCGUAGGAUUAGCUAGUUGGUGAGGUAAAAGCUCACCAAGGCGACGAUCCUUAGCUGGUCUGAGAGGAUGAUCAGCCACACUGGGACUGAGACACGGCCCAGACUCCUACGGGAGGCAGCAGUGGGGAAGUAUUGGACAAUGGGCGAAAGCCUGAUCCAGCAAUGCCGCGUGAGUGAUGAAGGCCUUAGGGUUGUAAAGCUCUUUUACCCGGGAUGAUAAUGACAGUACCGGGAGAAUAAGCUCCGGCUAACUCCGUGCCAGCCGCCGCCGUAA